GUCAAAUUAAAAUAUUUUCACAACUGUUUUCCCAUAUUUGCAAUAAUAUGACAAUUUGGAUUGGCCUUGUUUUGUUUAGCUAAAUACCGAUGCCAGUAAAAUGUUAAAAUAUGCAAUUACCAAAAUGAUAACCAUAAUAAUAAGUGAACAGUUGACUCAGUUAAACCACUUUGGAGAUUCUAAUUUUAAUUAUUAAGGUACUUUGAUUAAAUGAGCACUAUAGGGUCAGAAACACAAACAUGAAUUCCUGACCAUAUAGGGUUAAAAGCACCAUCGAGUCCCCCUGGCCCCCUCAUGCCUCCCUAAAUAUAGUAAUAUCUUACUUGUAUUCAAGUCUGCAGCUGCUUACUUUGUCACUGUUUCCUUUAGACCUGCCCAUUGCCUGCUGACAUAAGCAGAAGUGGUAGCCUGAUCCAAUCACAAUGCUUCCCCAUAGGAUUGGCUAAAACUGACAAGGAGGCAGAUCAGGGGCAGAGCCAGCACAAUUCAAACACAGCCCUGCCCAAUCAACAUCUCCUCAUUAAAUAAAUGCAUCUCUAUGAGGAAAGUUCAGUGUUGCAUUAGUUAUUUUUUUGUUUGUUUGUUUUUAAAACACCUAAUCUAGGCAAAAAUAAUGGGGGUUUAGUUACAUUAUAUGAUCAUACAUUGCAUAAGCCUGCCACAACGUCAAUGUACCCCAUCUUUAGCAGGUCCUACUCUAAC